GCCGGCGGGAAAUAAAGGAAGUGGGCGAGCGGCGGCUGCGUACUCUGCGCGCCUCCAGGACUUUACCUCCGGCCGGCCUCGCCUGCUCUCCGGCCCCCGGUCCCCGCCACCCGUCUCUCGGCCUACUGCCGCGGCUGCUGGGUGGGUGAGUAGCCCCCCUACCGCGCGGGGCCGUCUGCGCGGAUCCGAAAGUUUAGGAGCCCGCACCUGCUCGCCGCCGGCCAGACCCCCCCAGGAACAGCCCCGGACCGCCUGCGCCCGAGGGCUGCUGACUUGGGACACCUCCCAAGCCGGAAGCAAGGCGAGCCCUGCAAGGCUGCUGGUGGCAUGGAUUCUCAGGUCAGCAAUGGUUCAGGCCUCCAGGACGAACGCAUCACGAACCUGCUGCUGUUCGGCUUCCUCCAAAACUGCUCCAACCACAAUUUCCACAGAGAGUUGGAGGUGUUGGGCCAUGAACUGCCUGUGCCGGCUUACCUGCAGGAGGACCUCAGUGACGAGCUCCAGACGGAUGGCAACCGGAGCAGCCGCUUCCUGGAUGACGAGGGGACAAAUUCUGAGAGUCAAGAGGAAAUCAUCCAAGAUAUCGCCAGGCAGCUUGCCCAAAUAGGGGACAGUAUGGAUCACAGCAUCCACCCAAGACUGGUGAAUAACCUGGCAAUGCAGUUUAUGAAUGUGAACCUGUCGGAAGAAUUUCCGUGUCCCCUGUGUUUACAUGCAGGAGAGAAGGGAGCACCUUGCUGCUACGCUGGAGCAGGUCCGGCAGACUUACCCGAAGGACAUGGAGAAGGAGAAGGCCACGCUCAUGUUGGCCAUGGUACUGGCCAAAAAGGUGGCCGAUCACACACCGUCCUUGCUCCGUGAUGUCUUUCGCACAACAGUGAACUUUAUUAACCAGAACCUACUCACAUAUGUGAGGAACUUGGUCAGAAAUGAGAUGGACUGAGUGGACAACUCUGCAAAAGUGCGACUAGUUAAAACUUGAUACGGUGACGACAGUACACCUGCUCCAGUGGAAGUGGGAGCCAUGGCUGUAUAAACAAAGUUCUUAGAGAAGACAGGCACGAAAUAACAGCUGUUUAUUUCUUACUGUUUUAAAGAUGAUGUUUUAAGCAGGUGAUCCAUUUAGAAAUUUUACCUUAACAUACUUGAAUGAAAAUGUAAACUUGCACAGAUUUGAAUGAGUUUCAUACCAACUUCUAAAUCCACUACACACUGUGCCUUUAUCUUAUUUCAGCUGUACGGGUCUUCACUUGAAAAUUAAAUUUAAGAACAGAUUGUAAGGCAGAAGAAAAAAAGACAAGGUUUUUGUUUGUUUGUUUAAGAAAAACUACUGUUUAUUAAAGAGCAACCUUGGGGUGUGGUCUGACAGCAGGCGGUGCUUGAGGAGAACGAGGUCUGGAGACCGAUGCACUCACUCGCAAAUGAAAAAUUCCUCUCCGCGUAGGGAACAUCUUAGCACGAAGGAAGUGACAGUCUUCCCCCCUGAAAACCAAACCGUAUAAGAGGUUCUGGACUAAAGUUCUGUACUCAAACAGUGGGGAAAUCAGGCCUCAAAUGUGAUUUUUUUCAACUCGAUUUCUUUUUGUGUCAAGAAGGACCAUAGACAAAUAAAAGGUGUGGAGGUCAUUUAAGGGCCCACAUCAACCACAGUUUCCAAAAUCAGGUAACUAAAUGCACCUUUUCUCUAAGGCUAGGUUCUGAUAGAUUUUUAAGCUGAUGGAGUACCAAAAGCUACUGUAUAUAGCCUAUGGGGAUGACUGUUAAUAAUCUUGUAUUUUCAUUUUUCUCCCAUAAUCCCUCAGCUCACCCUUGCCCAGGAAGCUACAUCUGAAGAAAACAGGUUUCUAGGCAUAAAAGAUGAAAGACUAGUUAGACUUUUAAAAAUUCAACAGUUGAAGUUGGUUCCCUUUCUUAGGGACACAGAAACCAAGUAAGAACAAAAGCACUUAGGUAGUGCCAAAAUAAACCAGGAAGAGCUUACAUUUAGCAACAGUGCAAUACUGGUCUUGUUCCCAGCAAUAAGCAUUUCCUGGGAUUCUGUUUAAAGGUACAGUGGUGGAUGCUGGGUCUUUAUUACACACGUUAAUGUUAGUGUUAGGCUUACCAGUAACACUUGUUACUGCGAAUCUGGGGAAGGAUAUGAACAAGAGUAAUAGGUAUUAAGAAAUAUUUUGUUACCAAAAACACUUUUCUGUUCCUUGAGAGUUUAGUCAGAAAAGAAACAUGACUGCAUUAUUCAGCAUUAAGUACAUACCACACUAGGGUUGGGCCUUGAUCUGCUAUCUGCAGUAUGUUGCAAAUACUAACAGCCAUGCAGUACAAAGGCCACUGUUUGGAAAUAAACUAGUAAUGCUGUUA